UGUUGGGAAGCUGCAUAGCUACGCGGCGGCCGCAGAGAUGGGCCGUGAGCCUUCGGGUGUACGGACCCGGCUUCAGAAGAGGCUGGGUGAGACGACCCUGGGGACCCGGCCUCGCCCCUGAGCUGCGGCGGGGGUGCGCGAGCGCGGCGCACCGAGCGAGCCCCUGGCCACUUCUAGGGGGACCUUGAGGGGUGAGCGGCCCGUGUGGCCCGCAUCCCGAUUCCGGGUUGCCGUGACCCGGUCCCGAGCAUCUCGGGGGUCAAGGAGCGUCUUCGGUGGCCGCCCGGGGCCCAGCGCUGCCGCCACCGAGCCCCGGGGCGCCCCCUGAAUGGCCGAACUGCCUCUUCUACGGCCGCCCGGGCGCCGCAGCGGCUGAGGUCGCUGGGACUGCCCGGCCGCCACCCUCACCGCCGGCCCCUGCAUGCCCGGUGCCCGCGUCGCAGCCCACCUGGACGCUCUGGGCCCCCUGGUCUCCUACGUGCAGCCACCGCUGCUGCCCUCUAUGUUCUACGUGGGCCUGUUUUUCGUCAAUGUGCUGAUCCUCUACUACGCCUUCCUCAUGGAAUACAUCGUCCUCAACGUGGGCCUCGUCUUCCUGCCCGAGGACUUGGACCAGGCGCUGGUGGACCUCGGCGUACUCUCCGACCCUGGCUCUGGCCUCUAUGAUGCCGAUUCGGAGCUCGACGUCUUUGAUGGAUAUUUGGAGUAAGGUCCCCACACUUGCCCUCCACCAUCCGCAACUCUUGGCCUGGGCCAGCUGUCCAUAUCAUGCCACUGCCACUAGUUGGGGGCACCAUCUGGACCGGAAUGGGACCCCAGGAAGAGGCCCGCCUGCUUGUGCCAACAGCCGGGUUCCUGCCCCAGCCCAGGAGUAUGCCAGGAGAGGUGGGGACCCAGUGCCAAGAUGGGAGAGUUGCCAGGCCCUACAGGAAGGAGAAGGGCUCCAAAGACCUCACCUACCACCCAGUUCUCAGACGUCCUGGAUCAGGCUUGACUCUCCUGCUUCGUGAUGGUUGUUUACAGGAACCCAGCCAGAGGUCACCUUUCUGCACUUCACCCCCGACUGCACCUGCCACCCCCACUUAGCCUCUGGAAAGGACAGGAGAGCUGAGUGGGAUGCAAACAGACUCCUGCUUAGGCUGCUCCCUCCAGCGUCAGUCCCAAGACUGUUGAUCACAGUCUCAGGGAGCACUCUGAAGAAGGAUGCGCCAGGGUCUAGGGUGGGGCUUAACCUCUCCAGGUUGACAGAACUGAGCUGCCGCACUGGAGAAGGCUGUCUCUGGCUAGAAAUCUAUUUUUGGAAGUGUGAGUGGUGUAGAUACUUGAUUUCCAUAAACCUGUAAAAGCAAUACUUAGAGGCUGACUUAUUUCAUUAAAAAAAUGUAAGCAACUCCAA